UUGGAUUGAUGGGGCGCUUGUGUGUUCAGCCUUCGGGUGCAUUGGCACAAGUGCUUAUCCGCCGUGAGUUUCUAGGGGUCGAUUUUGGACCCCUGGGGACUGAGGGCUCCCUUCGGGUGAGGACGGCGGAGUGACGACGCGAUACGACCCGUCUUGAAACACGGACCAAGGAGUCUAGCGCGGGUGCGAGUCGGAGGGUGCAAGCCCGUGGGCGAAGUGAAAGCGAGUUUAAAAACUAGCAGUUUGGGGCGGCAUAAGAUCGUUGAUCUCAAGACCGACCCAGAGCAGUUGCGCUGGGACCCGAAAGAUGGUGAACUAUGCCGGAGUAGGGCAAAGCCAGAGGAAACUCUGGUGGAGGCUCGUAGCGGUGCUGACGUGCAAAUCGCUCGUCGAACUUGGGUAUAGGGGCGAAAGACUAAUCGAACCAUCUAGUAGCUGGUUCCCUCCGAAGUUUCUCUCAGGAUAGCGGGCCGACAAGUUGUUUUGUGCGGUAAAGCGAAUGAUUAGCGCAUUCGGGGGCAUUUAGCCUUUGGGCGAUUCUCAAACUUUCAAUGCGCAAGGGUGCCGCUGCUUAAUUGAGCGGCACCGGUAAAAACGUCGGCCCUGUGGGCCACUUUUGGUAAGCAGAACUGGCGAUACGGGAUGAACCGUAAGCAAGGUUAAGGCGCCAAACUGCCCGCUUAUAGACCCCACAAAAGGUGUUGAUUCAUCGAGACAGCAGGACGGUGGCCAUGGAAGUCGGAAUCCGCCAAGGAGUGUGUAACAACUCACCUGCCGAAUGAAUUAGCCCUGAAAAUGGAUGGCGCUGAAGCGGGCGGCCGACACCUUGCCGUCUGGACAAGAAUUUCAGAUGAGUAGGAGGGCGUGGUGGCCGUGUCGAAGCGCGCGUGCAGACGCGUGUGGAACAGCCACUAGUGCAGAUCUUGGUGGUAGUAGCAAGUAUUCAAGCGAGAUCCUUGAAGGGCGAAGUGGGGAAGGGUUUCACGCGAACAUUGAUUGGGCGUGAGUGAGUCGUUCCUAAGCCGAGUGGCAAUUGCUAAUUAACGGCGAAAGGGAAGCGGGUUGACAUUCCCGCACACGGAUGUGGAGGCGGCGACGCAUUAUUGGGGCGAACACGCUGGCGAUGGCGCUGGGCAGAGUUGUCUUUUCUGUUUGACCGCUUGCGCACGCAGUGUGGAAUCCGCUUGUCGGGAGAAACACGCGUGUACGGGCAGAGCGCUGGGGUUUUUCCAGCGUCCAGCUCGCCAUCGACGGCCCUUGAAACUUUGCCUGCUGGUUUAAGAUCCACGCCGUGGCGUACCGAUCACCGCAUCAGGUCCCCAAGGUGAACAGCCUCUGCUCAAUAUGAAAAAUGCAGGUAAGGGAAGUCGGCAAAUUAGACCCGUAACUUUGGGAAAAGGGUUGGCUCUAGUGCUGCGUGGGAGUGGUUGUCGAUUGCUGGCGUUUUUGGUGUGGCGGCUUGGCGCGGAACCCGAAAGGGAUCUGUUCCGGCUGCUACGCUGAUUGCGCCACAGCCGACGACGCCCACAGCAUGCAGCAG
rnacentral:rRNA from 1 species